ACAGGACAGCACGGGGAUGAAGCUGUGGAAGCAGCGUUGGUUCGUGCUGUCCGACUUCUGCCUGUUCUACUACAAAGACAACAAGGAGGAGGGUGUCCUGGGCAGCAUCUCCCUGCCCAGCUUCCAGGUGAAUCCGGUGGAAGCCGACGAUAAAAUCAACCGCAAGUUCGCCUUCAAGGCGCGGCACGCUGGCAUGCGCACCUACUACUUCGCCGCCGACUCGCUGGAGGAAA